rnacentral:rRNA from 1 species
GACGGUUUANUAAGCAAGAUGUGAAAUCCCCGAGCUUAACUUGGGAACUGCGUUUUGAACUGGUAAGCUAGAGUAUGUCAGAGGGGGGUAGAAUUCCACGUGUAGCAGUGAAAUGCGUAGAGAUGUGGAGGAAUACCGAUGGCGAAGGCAGCCCCCUGGGAUAAUACUGACGUUCAUGCUCGAAAGCGUGGGUAGCAAACAGGAUUAGAUACCCUGGUAGUCCACGCCCUAAACGAUGUCAAUUAGCUGUUGGGGCACUUGAUGCCUUAGUAGCGAAGCUAACGCGUGAAAUUGACCGCCUGGGGAGUACGGUCGCAAGAUUAAAACUCAAAGGAAUUGACGGGGACCCGCACAAGCGGUGGAUGAUGUGGAUUAAUUCGAUGCAACGCGAAGAACCUUACCUGGUCUUGACAUGUACGGAAUCUUCCAGAGACGGAGGAGUGCCUUCGGGAGCCGUAACACAGGUGCUGCAUGGCUGUCGUCAGCUCGUGUCGUGAGAUGUUGGGUUAAGUCCCGCAACGAGCGCAACCCUUGUCAUUAGUUGCCACCAUUUAGUUGGGCACUCUAAUGAGACUGCCGGUGACAAACCGGAGGAAGGUGGGGAUGACGUCAAGUCCUCAUGGCCCUUAUGACCAGGGCUUCACACGUCAUACAAUGGUCGGUACAGAGGGUAGCCAAGCCGCGAGGUGGAGCCAAUCUCAGAAAACCGAUCGUAGUCCGGAUUGCACUCUGCAACUCGAGUGCAUGAAGUCGGAAUCGCUAGUAAUCGCAGGUCAGCAUACUGCGGUGAAUACGUUCCCGGGUCUUGUACACACCG